rnacentral:snRNA from 1 species
CUGUUUUAGCAGUAGAUAUACUAAAACUCAAAUGGUAGAGAAGAUUAGCAUGGCCCCUGCACAAGGAUGACACACAAAUUUGUGAAGCAUUUCAUGUUUUC